GUGGGGAAUAUUGGACAAUGGGCGAAAGCCUGACGCAGCCAUGCCGCGUGAAUGAUGAAGGUCUUAGGAUUGUAAAAUUCUUUCACCGGGGACGAUAAUGACGGUACCCGGAGAAGAAGCUCCGGCUAACUUCGUGCCAGCAGCCGCGGUAAUACGAAGGGGGCUAGCGUUGCUCGGAAUUACUGGGCGUAAAGGGCGCGUAGGCGGACAGUUUAGUCAGAGGUGAAAGCCCAGGGCUCAACCUUGGAAUUGCCUUUGAUACUGGCUGUCUUGAGUACGGGAGAGGUGAGUGGAACUCCGAGUGUAGAGGUGAAAUUCGUAGAUAUUCGGAAGAACACCAGUGGCGAAGGCGACUCACUGGCCCGUUACUGACGCUGAGGCGCGAAAGCGUGGGGAGCAAACAGGAUUAGAAACCCCUGUAGUCC
rnacentral:rRNA from 1 species